rnacentral:rRNA from 1 species
UGCUCUGUGGGAUCAGUGGCGAACGGGUGAGUAACACGUGAGCAACCUGCCCCUGACUCUGGGAUAAGCGCUGGAAACGGCGUCUAAUACCGGAUACGAGUAGCGAUCGCAUGGUCAGUUACUGGAAAGAUUUUUUGGUUGGGGAUGGGCUCGCGGCCUAUCAGCUUGUUGGUGAGGUAAUGGCUCACCAAGGCGUCGACGGGUAGCCGGCCUGAGAGGGUGACCGGCCACACUGGGACUGAGACACGGCCCAGACUCCUACGGGAGGCAGCAGUGGGGAAUAUUGCACAAUGGGCGAAAGCCUGAUGCAGCAACGCCGCGUGAGGGAUGACGGCCUUCGGGUUGUAAACCUCUUUUAGCAGGGAAGAAGCGAAAGUGACGGUACCUGCAGAAAAAGCGCCGGCUAACUACGUGCCAGCAGCCGCGGUAAUACGUAGGGCGCAAGCGUUAUCCGGAAUUAUUGGGCGUAAAGAGCUCGUAGGCGGUUUGUCGCGUCUGCUGUGAAAUCCCGAGGCUCAACCUCGGGCCUGCAGUGGGUACGGGCAGACUAGAGUGCGGUAGGGGAGAUUGGAAUUCCUGGUGUAGCGGUGGAAUGCGCAGAUAUCAGGAGGAACACCGAUGGCGAAGGCAGAUCUCUGGGCCGUAACUGACGCUGAGGAGCGAAAGGGUGGGGAGCAAACAGGCUUAGAUACCCUGGUAGUCCACCCCGUAAACGUUGGGAACUAGUUGUGGGGUCCAUUCCACGGAUUCCGUGACGCAGCUAACGCAUUAAGUUCCCCGCCUGGGGAGUACGGCCGCAAGGCUAAAACUCAAAGGAAUUGACGGGGACCCGCACAAGCGGCGGAGCAUGCGGAUUAAUUCGAUGCAACGCGAAGAACCUUACCAAGGCUUGACAUAUACGAGAACGGGCCAGAAAUGGUCAACUCUUUGGACACUC